AGAACGCUAUGUACAGUUACACAGUAAUAUACUAUGUGCAGUUACACAGAAGAAUGCUAUGUACGGUUACACACAAGAGAGUUAUGUACAGUUACACGGAAGAGUGUUAUGUACAGUUACACGGAAGAGCGUUAUGUACAGUUACACGGAAGAGCGUUAGGUACGGUUACACAGAAGAACGUAUUGUAUGUUUACACAGAAGGAUGUUAU